rnacentral:rRNA from 1 species
AACGAACGCUGGCGGCAGGCUUAACACAUGCAAGUCGAGCGCCCCGCAAGGGGAGCGGCAGACGGGUGAGUAACGCGUGGGAAUCUACCCAUCUCUACGGAAUAACGCAUGGAAACGUGUGCUAAUACCGUAUACGUCCUUCGGGAGAAAGAUUUAUCGGAGAUGGAUGAGCCCGCGUUGGAUUAGCUAGUUGGUGGGGUAAAGGCCUACCAAGGCGACGAUCCAUAGCUGGUCUGAGAGGAUGAUCAGCCACACUGGGACUGAGACACGGUCCGGACUCCUACGGGAGGCAGCAGUGGGGAAUAUUGGACAAUGGGCGCAAGCCUGAUCCAGCCAUGCCGCGUGAGUGAUGAAGGCCCUAGGGUUGUAAAGCUCUUUCACCGGUGAAGAUAAUGACGGUAACCGGAGAAGAAGCCCCGGCUAACUUCGUGCCAGCCGCCGCAGUAAGAC